GCACCAGCUCAAAUAGCUUCUUUGGAGGAAAUUUGACAACUCAUCAACUCAUUCAAAAAAAGAUGCCCACUUCAUCCAUCUUCGCCCUAGCUUUUUGCCCAGGAGGAUGAUCUACAUGGACAACGUCAGUAGAAUCUCUUGCUCUCUGAUUUCUGCUUGGGUUCUGCCAGUGGGAAAUCCAAGCAGAAGAUCUCUUGAGGAUAAAAAAACAAGGCCAGGGUAUUUAUUCUCCUGCCUCUCUCCCUGCAAGGUUAUCUCUGACUUGCUGCAACCCGAAGCCAAAGGUCACAGCUCCUCCCCUGGUGGCCUCUCUACCCAACUGUCCUCCUGGGUUCCAGCUUUUGUUCACCCCUUAGGGUAAGGAUGUAAUUUCCUCACUGUUUCUAGCCCUCUCCCUCGUCAGUUCCAAACCCUGUGUCCACAGCUUGUAGGAAGCCCCUUCACUAGACUUUCCUCCAAGUACCUAGUAGUACUUCUAUAGUACUGCUAUAGUAGUAAGCUGUCUCUUUUCUGCUUGAAUCCUGAUGGAGAAAUCUUAUGAUACCUACCUCUGUUUCUCUUUCAGAGCAUUCCUGAUUUUUAUUUUCAUUAAAAAAAAAAUCCCUCUAGUGUUUUGUGCCAGCAGAAAAAUCUCUCCUGAUAGCUAAAAUCUUUAGGACAAGUUUACCCUCACAAACUGUGACAUGGACAGUGAGCAGGUGAAAGUUUCUGCCUUGCUAAAUUAACUGCAAAACCUCAAAGUUAGAGGGAUGACUUUAUGUCGUUUGUAAUGAUUGCAGAUAACCCAAAGUCAAAUUAUUGGAAUUUUUACAGUUGUCCUUUGUUUUGUCUGUGAAAAUGACUGAGAGUAUUCAUUGCCUCAGUGACUUUUAGGAAGACAGGGAUUAGAGAUUAAGUAUGGAGAAAAUAAGAUGCCAAACACCUGCUCAUUCGAAGGUUCAUCACAGGGGAGGGCAUAGCUCAGUGGUAGAGUGCAUGCUUAGAAUGCAGAAGGUCCUGGGUUCAAGCCCCAGAACUGCCAUUAAGAAACAAAUAAAUAAACCUAAUUACUCUCCCCAUGCCCCCAGUGUAAUAGAGUAAAAAAAAAAAAGUUAUGGUUCAUCACAAAUAUUAUGAAUGGAGUAAAGACAACAUAGAAGAAAAAAAUAUUGUGAGAAAACAUUUAUAACAUAUGUGAAAUAACAUUGCUAACCCAAACUGCUAUUCCCCAUAACACAAUUCUCAUAUUUAGAGGUAGUUCUCUGUGAAGGAUUCAUCAGUGCAAUAUUAUCUCUAGAGAGCAAAUUAUUCAUGCACUGUCCUGACAACUUUCAUUUGAGAACCAUUUAAAAGAUACUGUCUCUCAGAGACUUGCAGAAACAUUAUUAAUUCAAUUAACUUGUGUGUGUCUAGGCAUGUAUUGGGGCCUACUGGAGAUGCAACUUAAGGGAGGUGAUUGUCCUUCCAAUUUUAUAUUGUACUGUGGAAGUCACAUAGCCACCAGAGGAGCCACCUCCAUGCUAGUGAAAGCCCUUGCCGAGUGCCAGGGUGCACAGUGGAAGAGGAGAACGUGUCCGAUCGGUGAGCCACACCCAGGCAACUAGGGGCUCCCCAACCACUCCCCUGUCCUUGGAAUGUGUGAUCUGUUUGCCUUCCCCACUCUCAGAAGCUGCCGCAAGGAUCCAGCCUUGAGAUAGAAAUGUGGGGUGAAGACUAUCUGGACCAUAUAAGUGACUGAACGCACUUAAGGCUUCUAUAUAAAAGUUUGAUUCUGGCGGGCAGGUGGGAAAACUGUUCUUCUUGUGGCCGCCCAAGACAAGCCUUGUAAGUAAGUUCCCUUGCUUAUUUAACCAGCCACCCACCAACCUGGGUGGUCUGACUCAUCAUCAGGUUUCAGGUUACACCCAGGAAGACCUCAAGGAGGUUGUAAACCAACCUAAUUUUUAAACACCAGUCUCAUCUGUCUCUAUAAACAAAUAUAAAAAAUGAAAUAUAUAAGGCAAUUGUUCUCAAAGUUCUUUAUUCUUGUUAAAAACCGUCUUAAUUAUCUAAAAUUCUUUCUAAGUUGGAUUGUAUUCUCUGGGAUUUGGAAUCAACAAAUUGCCAUGUUGCAGAAUAGGACUUUGUAGAUAUUCUCUUUUCACUAUUGACGUUUAAUCUGCCUUCUCACUCUUGGUCCUCUUUUCCAUGCUCUAUGAUUCUCUUUUUUACAUAAGUGAACAUCUUCUCAUCUACUUUAUAAUUUACAAAAUGUAUUACUUUUUUCCCUUUAUUUUCUGCCCCUUCAAGGAAUAUUGAAAGAUCUGGAAAGGCAAGGAUCUUUACCUGCUCUUAUUUGCUAAUAAAUCCCAUUGCCUACAGCAGUGCUCGGCACAUAACAGGCUCUCAGUAAACAUGAAAUGAAAAUUCUAUCUCAUUUACUAUUUUGUUCUUGUUUGUUUAGAAUUUCUUUAAGAAUGUAUACAAUUAUAUUUGUCAUUUAUACCUCAAUAAAGAUGAAAAAUAAAAAUAAA